UUUUCCCCCAGUCCAUGGCUUGUCUUUUCAUUUUCUUAAUGGCAUAAUUUGAAGAAAGGAGUCUUAGUAUUCAAUUUGAUAAAGUCCAGUUUACUGCUUUUUUUCUUUAUGAUUGAUAAUGUGUGUGUAUUGUGUUUUGUUUCAUUUACGAAAUCUUCGAUUAAGAUUCAAGGAUAUUUUCACUUAUAUUUUAUUUUAGAAGUUUUAUAGUUUGGACUUUUAUGCCUAGGACUAUGAUCCAUUUUUUAACAUAAUUUUUGUGUAUGGUAUGAGGAUGAGUCACCAUCAUUCCUACCAGACUUUAUCUAAUCUCUUCCUGAAGUGCUGCAGAUGUUAACUUGACCAUCUUUAGCAAGUUUAUUUCAAAGAUCAUCUGCUCAGACUGUGAAGAAGAGCCUUGUUUCAGACACUGGUACCACCCUGAAAAUGACGAAUGAGGCUGGCAGCACGUACACAGUUCCUGUCGAAACUGGCAAGAUCCUCUGUUUCCCAGUGAAACCCUCGACCCUUUCUUCCUGGUGGGCUUGCAGUUUUUGAAGGCCGUAGCCUGCCACACCUUCCUUUGCCCUGC